rnacentral:rRNA from 1 species
CCGGCGACCGGCGCACGGGUGAGUAACACGUAUGCAACCUGGCCGUGACAGAUGGAUAACCGGGAGAAAUCCCGCCUAAUACAACAUAAUGCCGGGAGGGGACAUCCCCUGCCGGCCAAAGGGGCGACCCCGGUCACGGAUGGGCAUGCGGCGCAUUAGGUAGUUGGUGGGGCAACGGCCCACCAAGCCGACGAUGCGUAGGGGUUCUGAGAGGAAGGCCCCCCACACUGGUACUGAGACACGGACCAGACUCCUACGGGAGGCAGCAG